UUGGAGCUUCGCACUGAGAGGAUCGUAUCUGCUCAAAAUAAAUACAAGAAGAAUGUUAAUGACCAGCUGAACUGGUGUGUCAGCAGGCGAUGUUGUUCAAAGAGCCGCGGGGUCUGGGGUAUGAUUUUGCCUGCAAGCCGUGUCAUGACUGACAGCUUUGCCAGGUUCCCUUCCUGCCAUAUUGACCUUGCUGACCUGCUUCUCUACCUUGGUGGUAUCUGGGGCUUAUAUCUAUGUCUCCUCAGCUGAGUGAAGACAUGGAGGAUGAGCUCUGGCCAUCGGAAGAAUGGAAGGUUUGCCUAUUCUGGAAAUUUCAUUUAAAUAGAGAAAUACACUACGUGCUCUUUGUGCCUGGCUUCUCUCACUCAGCACAAUAUUCUGGAGUUGCAUCCAUGUGGAAGCACGCAUCAAGACCUCAUUCCUUUGAUGGCUGAAUGAUACUCUUGUGCUGGCUGGUUUUGUGCCAACCUGGCACAAGCUGGAGUUACCAUAGAGAAAGGAGCUUCAGACUUCCCUGAACCCCAAGGAGAAAGAUUUGAUGGAGACAUUCCUUUUAGGGCUGAGUGUUCCAUGAUCUCUCUCUGCAUAAUG